GCCUGGUUGGCUCAGUUGGUGGAGCAUCCGGCUUCGGCUCAGGUCAUGAUCUCACCGUUCGUGAGGUCGAGCCCCGCAUCAGGCU
rfam:Felis catus isolate Cinnamon breed Abyssinian chromosome D3, whole genome shotgun sequence.